rnacentral:lncRNA from 10 species
CUAGCUGGGGGCCACUACUCUGAGUGAAGUAACUCAGGAAUGGAAAAUCAAACGCGGUAUGUCCUCACUUAUAAGUGGGAACUAAGCUAUGAGGAUACAAGUGAUAUAAUGGACUUUGGGGACUUAGUAGGGAAAGAAUGGUGUGGGAUAAAAGACUACAUACCGGAUACAGUGUACACUGCUCUGGCGAGGGGUGCACUCGGACCUCAGAAUUCAUCAAUAUAGAAUUCAUCCAUGUAACCAAAAACCACUUAUACACCAAAAGCUAUUGAAAUUUUUUAAAAAGUCAAAGUCGAAAAAAAAAAAGCCCACCUAAGUGAAUCCUUAAAAGCAAGAGCUAAUUUACCACCACUCUUUUGUUACAAAAAAAAUACUCCUUAAAAAAAAAUUAAUUCUGUGAUCUUUUAAGUUUGUGAAGGCCCUAACAAUGUCCUUCUUCACUUAUAAUCUGGGAAAAGGAUGACCUGAUCUGUAACCUGAACACAUGAAAUCAUUGGUUAAACUUUCCAGCCCUAGGAGUAUAUGAGGAACAACAGAUCUGGUAACUAUCACUUAUCUCCAUGGAGUUGGUCCGAUACUAUACAUAUUUGUUAUUUUAAAUUCUACGAGAACAUUUUCUCUUUUCCUUUUCUUUCUUUUUUUUUUUUUUGAGACAGAGUCUCACUCUGUCACCCAGGCUGGAGUGCAGUGGCGCUAUCUCGGCUCACUGCAAGCUCCGCCUCCCAGGUUCAUGCCAUUCUCCUGUCUCAGCCUCCUGAGUAGCUGGGACUACAGGCGCCCGCCACCAUGCCCGGCUAAUUUUUUUGUAUUUUUGUAGAGAUGGGGUUUCACCAUGUUAGCCAGGAUGGUCUUGAUCUCCUGACCUCGUGAUCCGCCCACCCACGAGAACAUUUUCAAUUCAGUGUCCUCCCCCUUCCCAACCCUGUAGAUAUUCGUCCUUUCUCGUAAAUGGAUUAUAGAUUGAGCAUCCCUAACAUCCAAAAUCCAAAAUCUGAAACUAUCUGAGUGCUAACAUGAUGCACUCGUGUGAUAGGGUCACAGUGAAAACUUUGUUUCGUGUACAAAAUUAUUUAAAAUACUGUAUAACAGCCUGGGCAAGAAAGCAACACCCCGUCUCUAAAAAAAAUAAAAAGUUAGCCAGGCGUGGUGGCACAUGCCUACAGUCCCAGCUACUUGGGAGGCUGAGGAGGUAGAAUCCUUUCAGCCCAGGAAUUUGAGGCUGCGAUCCAACUUCGGUGACAGAACGAGACCUUGUUUCAAAAAAAAAAAAGUACAGAAUUGCCUUCAGGCUAUGUGUAUAAGGUGUAAUGAAACACAAAUGAAUUUCAAAUUUCGUAUUUAAACCCGAGUCCUAGCCUUAAGAUAACUCAUUAUGCAUAUGCAAAACCCCAAAAUCCAAAGUGCUACUGUUCCUAAGCAUUUUGAAUAAAGGAUGCUCAACCUGUAAUACCAGUUAGCAAGUUUUUUUAAGUGCCUGUUGUAAACAGGACUCUGAACUAGCCUUUCUUAUCUUAAAUACAAAUAAAUCCUGGAGUUCUGGCCUGAGUUCACAAAAUCAGGUAGAACAAAAGUUUGGUGCCACUGCGCCACCUUGAGGUUACAUCAGUUUGGAAAAUAACAGUGAUUGAUAUGAAAGGUCUCUAUUCCACUCAAACAUUAUUUAUUUUUAAUUUAAUUUAAUUAAUUUAUUUAUUUUUUGAGGCAGAGUCUCGCUCUGUCGCCCAGGCUGGAGUGCAGUGGCGCAAUCUCAGCUCACUGCAAGCUCUGCCUCCCAGGUUCAUGCCAUUCUCCUGCCUCAGCCUCCCGAGUAGUUGGGACUACAGGUGUCCGCCACUAUGCCCGGCUAAUAUUUUGUAUUUUUAGCAGAGACGGGGUUUCUUACCGUGUUAGCCAGGAUGGUCUCGAUCUCCUGACCUCGUGAUCCGCCUGCCUUGGCCUCCCAAAGUGCGGGGAUUACAGGCGUGAGCCACCGCGCCCAGCCUAUUUUUUUUUUUUAAGUUUUAAUGUUCCCAAUUAAGAGUGAACACUUAUUCUUUGAAAAUUCUACUGAAACAUUGUUUUAUUUUGUUUUUGUAGAGAUGUGGUUUCACCAUGUUGCCCAGACUAUUCUCAACUCCUGAGCUCAAGCAAUCCACCUGCCUAGGACUCCUUGGAAACAUUCUGUGUUGAGUGUGAAGAUGGCUACAUGACUGUUUGUCCAAAUUCACAGAAUAGUACAUACAUACCUAAAAGGGGGGUAGACUUUACCAUAUGCAAAUUAAAUCUUAGUAAACAUGGCUUAGUAAGGUCCUCUCUCAUACAUUUUCUUUUCUUUUCUUUUUUGAGAUGGAGUUUCACUCUUUUGCCCAGGCUGGAGUGAAGUGGUUUGAUCUUGGCUCACUGCAACCUCCGCCUCCUGGGUUCAAGCGAUUCUCCUGCCUCAGCCUCCUGAGUAGCUGGG